UACAGGGAGAUAUGUUUUAUUUGCCAAGUGUAGAAAUGCAUACAACAACAGAAACUGGAUAAAAAGAGAAAUGCAGAUGAGUGGAAGAGUUCUCCUGUGGCAAAGCAAUUUUGAAGGUGUGAAUCAUAGCAGCUGUCCUCUAUAGUUGGAUUUUAAGAGAACAGACUUACUUACUCUAUCUGCCCAGCAGCAUGAAUGAUUCAACUCCUCAAGAGCAAGAAUAAGAAAAGAUGCAAGCAGCAGCAGAAGGAAUGACUGCUACUUCAGCUCCUAGCAACUCACAGAAACAUCACGUUGCACUAAGCAAUACAAACUCAAGCAGCACUUACUGAAGAGACAUUUAUAUACAGAAUGACUGGCAAUCAGCAUUAGGUAGCAGCAUGAAAGGUCAGGCAGCUCUACAAAUGAGACUACAGGCCUGGACCCUUUAGACAGACCAGCACAUAUCACAUUGCCUUUAGCUACCCGGCUGGUUCACAUAACAGUCCCCUCCUCUAUGUCUGUUCUUGACAGACUGGUACUGAUAUUGAAGAGGCAGUCCAGACACACACAAAGCUCGAGAGUGACUCAAGUCAACAUGCCUGACAUUAAACUUACUAACUCUACUACUCAGAACUGUGUGGUACUGGCUUUUUAAAAUGACUACACUAGUUUUAGACUUUGGACACAUCUGCUAUUUUGAACAUGGUGAACACCAAGAAGCGUCUCUCUCUAUCUCUCUUUCAUGGGUUCUAUAACUGAACCAAUGAAAGUGGAAAAUUGUAUCCAUGUAUGGUCAAAUUAGAGCAGCAGAGCAGGUACAAGUUGUUAGGCUAAAAUAUGAAUAUUCCACAAAACGUGAAUGGGGGUUAAGGGGUGUGAAGGAAAGGGAGAAAGUCAUUUAUUUAUUCAUUUAUUAUUCAAACUGUCACCUCUAUUCUCUAUUCAGAAUGGAACCAUUUUAUUAUG